rnacentral:rRNA from 1 species
GACGAACACUGGCGGCGUGCUUAACACAUGCAAGUCGAACGGAAAGGCCCCUUUGGGGGUACUCGAGUGGCGCACGGGUGAGUAACACGUGAGUAACCUGCCCUUGACUUCGGGAUAACUUCAGGAAACUGGGGCUAAUACCGGAUAGGAAUCCUUGCUGCAUGGUGGGGGUUGGAAAGCUUCGGCGGUUUUGGAUGGACUCGCGGCUUAUCAGCUUGUUGGUGGGGUAGUGGCUUACCAAGGCUUUGACGGGUAGCCGGCCUGAGAGGGCGACCGGCCACAUUGGGACCGAGAUACGGCCCAGACUCCGACGGGAGGCAGCAGUGGGGAAUAUUGCACAAUGGGCGGAAGCCGGAUGCAGCAACGCCGCGUGCGGGAUGACGGCCUUCGGGUUGUAAACCGCUUUCAGCAGGGGCGAAGCUUGUGGUGACGGUACCUGCAGAAGAAGCACCGGCUAACUACGUG